rnacentral:rRNA from 1 species
GACGAACGCUGGCGGCGUGCUUAACACAUGCAAGUCGAACGGAAAGGCCCUGCUUUUGUGGGGUGCUCGAGUGGCGAACGGGUGAGUAACACGUGAGUAACCUGCCCUUGACUUUGGGAUAACUUCAGGAAACUGGGGCUAAUACCGGAUAGGAGCUCCUGCUGCAUGGUGGGGGUUGGAAAGUUUCGGCGGUUGGGGAUGGACUCGCGGCUUAUCAGCUUGUUGGUGGGGUAGUGGCUUACCAAGGCUUUGACGGGUAGCCGGCCUGAGAGGGUGACCGGCCACAUUGGGACUGAGAUACGGGCCAGACUCCUACGGGAGGCAGCAGUGGGGAAUAGUGCACAAUGGGCGGAAGCCUGAUGCAGCAACGCCGCGUGCUGGAUGACGGCCUUCGGGUUGUAAACCGCUUUCGCCUGUGACGAAGCGUGAGUGACGGUAAUGGGUAAAGAAGCACCGGCUAACUACGUG